UACAAUAACAUUUGAGAGAGAUACAAGAGUCUAUUUGUCCUAAAUAAUGAAGCGGAAUAUUUUUCGGUAAUCUUUAUGGUCGAGGUGCGUAGCGCGUGAUUGUCUUUGGUCAGUCCAACCUGGAAAGGUCUUCAGUCGCAAAUGGAGGUCAAUGGCCCACGAAAUUAGAGAUGAAUAUGUGAUUUCUUUACAAUAGCUCACAUCAAUAAGGACCCGCCUGAUGUUUAGAGCGCUAAUCACUUCUUCCCUUGACAGAAGAUCUGCUGGUUUUAUCUGUGUUACGCUGCCACUAUAGCCUUACGUGAAUAUGCUGUAAACGCAACUUCCAUGCUGUAAGUUAGUACCAUUUGUCGCCACCGUUGUCGUCUAUUCUUUUCGCUUUGCGUCGUUACAUGUAAUCCUUGAAGGUCUCACACGACCUUUUGGUUGUAUUAAACUAUCGAUUAUGAAACUCUCCAAAAAGGGCAUAGCUGGUGAGAAAAAAAAGCGCCUGUACGCGAGGUCGAAGGGAGCAAAAGCAGGCAGGCAGGCAGGCUGGCAGGCAAACAAGUUCCAACGCACGGAUGGGACUGAAGUUUGCAGCAAUCGCAUAAAAAAUGGUGGGCUAUCUUCGCAACGCUACCUGUGGUGGUCCUCCUGAACGAUAUCUCCACUUCUCCCGUUCCUCUGUAUUGCGGUGACGGGAAGCAUUCGGACGGCACCUGAACUGCCCAAGUGAAAGCGAAGCUGAGCAAAUACUUCAACCGAAAUGGUCAUUGCACCGAAAUUCUGCAGCAGGGCAAGGCCGCGGCUUCAACUUUCCCGUUGGUGCUAUCACCGUUACCGCUACUACAACUAGCAGUACGGAAAAACACUAAAAUAUUUCUACCAAUAAUUGCCGCUAAUGUGCACAGAUCACCAACGCCGCGGACAUGCGGAUGCCAUCAAUGGUCGCCCCCAUUUCCGAACAGGAAUUUGAA
rnacentral:lncRNA from 11 species